ACUCUUGAGGAUAAAUCUUAGAAAUUAAGUUGAGAUUAGGAAACAAAGUGAAAAGACUAAAAGACCCUUACAAUUCCAUGCGAAACCAAACGACCCCUAUGACAAAAUUCCCAUCACCGCAACUUCGACCAAUUACAUUUUAACCAAUUCGAUACGCAAACCUUUCGUAAACCGCGGCACCACAAAACCACUUGAUCAAAUUCACACUACAUCUCACAACCAUUUCAGCCGACUCUUUCUCUGCACAAGCCAAAUCCGCAAUCCAUUGCACUCCAAAUACCACGAUACCAACCACUCUACUCUUUCAUUUUUGAUUCACAACAAAACCUCAUUUCUUCCCUGCCUUGUCCGAGAGCAUCCGAGAGAGUGAGAGAGCUGCUGGAAAUUUUUGGUCCUGCCGUGAGUAGAGCAAAGCCAGGAAGGAGAAUCUGCAGGAAGCUACACCAUCUCACCUUCAUCCGCAACCCAAUUCCAGCCGCAACUCAAACCAGGACCACGUCUGAACUUGGCCGAGAGUGAGGGAAGACAUUUCUGGAAAAUUCGUGUGAGGGUUUAGCUAUUAGCUGAGGUUCUGGAAACUGAGAGUUGGAUGCUACUUAAGUUUUUCUUUUGGACUGUAUUUGAAUUCUAUAACUUAUUUUGUGGGCUGUAAUGUGUUCUUUGGGAUAGUGUAUUUUCCUUUUUGGAUUGCCACUUGAAACUGGAAAAUGUGUAAACCCUAAUUUGAUUA